GAUGAAGAACGCAGCGAAAUGCGAUAACUAGUGUGAAUUGCAGAAUUCCGUGAAUCAUCGAGUCUUUGAACGCACAUUGCGCCCCCUGGUAUUCCGGGGGGCAUGCCUGUCCGAGCGUCAUUGCUGCCCAUCAAGCACGGCUUGUGUGUUGGGUCGUCGUCCCCCCCUCCGGGGGGGACGGGCCCUAAAGGCAGCGGCGGCACCGCGUCCGAUCCUCGAGCGUAUGGGGCUUUGUCACCCGCUCUGUAGGCCCGGCCGGCGCUUGCCGAACGCAAAACAACCAUUCUUUCCAGGUUGACCUCGGAUCAGGUAGGGAUACCCGCUGAACUUAAGCAUAUCAAUAAGCGGAGGA
rnacentral:misc_RNA from 1 species